rnacentral:rRNA from 1 species
GACGUAGGGUGCAGGCGUUAAUCGGAAUUACUGGGCGUAAAGCGUGCGCAGGCGGUCUGCUAAGAGAGAUGUGAAAUCCCCAGGCUUAACCUGGGAACUGCGUCUGAUACUGGAUGGCUUGAGAUUGGGAGAGGGAUGCGGAAUUCCAGGUGUAGCGGUGAAAUGCGUAGAUAUCUGGAGGAACACCGGUGGCGAAGGCGGCAUCCUGGACCAACACUGACACUGAGGAGCGAAAGCCAGGGGAGCAAACGGG